rnacentral:rRNA from 1 species
UACGAAGGGGGCUAGCGUUGCUCGGAAUUACUGGGCGUAAAGGGAGCGUAGGCGGAUAGUUUAGUCAGAGGUGAAAGCCCAGGGCUCAACCUUGGAAUUGCCUUUGAUACUGGCUAUCUUGAGUACGGAAGAGGUAUGUGGAACUCCGAGUGUAGAGGUGAAAUUCGUAGAUAUUCGCAAGAACACCAGUGGCGAAGGCGGCUCACUGGCCCGAUACUGACGCUGAGGCACGAAAGCGUGGGGAGCAAACAGG